GAUGAACGCUGGCGGCGUGCCUAAUACAUGCAAGUCGAGCGAACAGACGAGGAGCUUGCUCCUCUGACGUUAGCGGCGGACGGGUGAGUAACACGUGGAUAACCUACCUAUAAGACUGGGAUAACUUCGGGAAACCGGAGCUAAUACCGGAUAAUAUAUUGAACCGCAUGGUUCAAUAGUGAAAGACGGUUUUGCUGUCACUUAUAGAUGGAUCCGCGCCGCAUUAGCUAGUUGGUAAGGUAACGGCUUACCAAGGCAACGAUGCGUAGCCGACCUGAGAGGGUGAGCGCCAACCGGAGAACUGAACCACGCACAGGCCCCACGCGGGAGGCACGAGGAGGGAAUCGUCCGAAAGGGGGAAAAGCCGAACGGAGCAGCGCCGCGGGAGUGAUGAGUGUCUGCGUAUCUAAAAACUUUGUUAUGGGGAAAAAACAAAUGUGUAAGUAACGAGGCCCGUCUUGACGGUACAUAAUAAGAAAGCCACGUCAAACUCCGUC
rnacentral:rRNA from 1 species